rnacentral:rRNA from 1 species
UACGGGGGGUGCAAGCGUUGUUCGGAAUCAUUGGGCGUAAAGAGCGUGUAGGCGGCUUGAUCAGUCAGAUGUGAAAGCCCUGGGCUCAACCUGGGAAGUGCAUUUGAAACUGUCAUGCUUGAGUAGGGGAGAGGGAAGUGGAAUUCCUGGUGUAGAGGUGAAAUUCGUAGAUAUCAGGAGGAACACCGGUGGCGAAGGCGACUUUCUGGCCCUAUACUGACGCUGAGACGCGAGAGCGUGGGUAGCAAACAGGAUUAGAUACCCUGGUAGUCCACGCCGUAAACGAUGUUCACUAGGUGUUGGGGGUAUUGACCCCCUCAGUGCCGCAGCUAACGCAUUAAGUGAACCGCCUGGGGAGUACGGUCGCAAGACUAAA